GAUGAACGCUGGCGGCGUGCCUAAUACAUGCAAGUCGAACGAACAGACGAGGAGCUUGCUCCUCUGACGUUAGCGGCGGACGGGUGAGUAACACGUGGAUAACCUACCUAUAAGACUGGGAUAACUUCGGGAAACCGGAGCUAAUACCGGAUAAUAUAUUGAACCGCAUGGUUCAAUAGUGAAAGACGGUUUUGCUGGCACUUAUAGAUGGAUCCGCGCCGCAUUAGCUAGUUGGUAAGGUCACGGCUUACCAAGGCAACGAUGCGUAGCCGACCUGAGAGGGUGAUCGGCCACACUGGAACGGAGACACGGUCCAGACUCCUACGGGAGGCAGCAGUAGGGAAUCGUACGCAAUGGGCGAAAGCCUGACGGAGCAACGGCGCGUGAGUGAUGAAGGUCUUCGGAUCGUAAAACUCUGUUAUGAGGGAAGAACAAAUGUGUAAGUAACUAUGCACGUCUUGACGGUACCUAAUCAGAAAGCCACGGCUAACUACGUG
rnacentral:rRNA from 1 species